rnacentral:rRNA from 1 species
UGGGGAAUUUUCCGCAAUGGGCGAAAGCCUGACGGAGCAAUACCGCGUGAGGGAUGACGGCCUAUGGGUUGUAAACCUCUUUUUUCAGGGAGGAAUAAAUGACGUGUACCUGAAGAAUAAGCAUCGGCUAACUCCGUGCCAGCAGCCGCGGUAAGACGGAGGAUGCAAGUGUUAUCCGGAAUCACUGGGCGUAAAGCGUCUGUAGGUGGUUUAAUAAGUCAACUGUUAAAUCUUGAGGCUCAACCUCGAAACCGCAGUCGAAACUAUUAGACUAGAGUAUAAUAGGGGUAAAGGGAAUUUCCAGUGGAGCGGUGAAAUGCGUAGAGAUUGGAAAGAACACCGAUGGCGAAGGCACUUUACUGGGCUAUUACUAACACUGAGAGACGAAAGCUAGGGUAGCAAAUGGGAUUAGAUACCCCAGUAGUCCCAGCUGUAAACUAUGGAUACUAGAUGUUGAACAGAUCGACCUGUGCAGUAUCAAAGCUAACGCGUUAAGUAUCCCGCCUGGGAAGUAUGCUCGCAAGAGUG